rnacentral:lncRNA from 1 species
CAGCAAGGCAAUAGAGAACACUAUCAAUAAAUUGGUUUAAGGUGGGGUUGUUUAAUCGCUUUAAGUCAGUCAGGUUGGAGAGAGUGCACACACGCACACACACACACACACACACACACACACACACACACACACACACACACACACACACACACACACACACACACACACACACACACACACACACACACACACACACAUGGACACAGUCUGGUCUGGGGACUCACUGGCCAGCAGGAGAACAGACAGGAUCAUGAUGACUGCAACGAAGGUCAGACCUCCAAUACGAAGAGUUUGGUAGUCUACAACACAGAGGACACACUCAUCAUAAGCUCACCUAUGGGUCGUACUCAGGAGCUGAUGAGAGAGCAGAGAACACAAGAUAAGAUCCAAGAGGAUAUCCACACUCUACAGGCCGGUACACUCAGAGGAGUGACAGAAAUAGAAUAGACAGAGAAACAUACUGUUGUCCCAGCCCUGUGGCUUUUAUUGCCAUCUGGGGUCCUAGGUUUGGGGGCUACCACAAACCCCUGAGGUGCCUUAUUGCUAUUACAAACAGGUUACCAACGUAAUACGAACAGUAAACAAGUAGUUUUGCGUCAUACCCGUGGUAUAUUGUCUCAUAUUCAGUACCGUGGUUUUCAGCCAAUCAGCAUCCAGGGUUCGCACGACCCGGUUUCUAACAAUAUAUGACUGACUCAAAAGUAAACCUGACCCACAGAAAGUCAACGUAAAUCUCCCAGAGCAGGUCACACCAAUAUGUUAUGAUGAGCCACGUUCCCUGUUUGUUUUGGGGGACGAGCAGGCUAAUAUGUUGUGUCUCACUCGGGCAACGGGAGGUAGCAGUGACUGAGAGUGGUUUGUUUGAGUUUGUGAAGGUGCUUUGGGAUAUGUACUGUAUGUAUGUACAGUGCACUGCGAAGCUAGCCAACUUGUGCCGGUCUCUGUAGCCACAGCAUACUAAAUGAAUGUUUACUAUGUGGCUAGAACAACGAGCUAGCACAUGAUUCCCUGUGGCGUUCUGCCUGUUACCUGACUGGCUAGUGAUGUACAUGAAUCAUGAUCAGGCCACAGGUUAUGGCUAUUGCCUGAUAAACCCAUGGUAUAAUGGAGAACUGAGACUAGAGGGGAUACCUAUUGGCAUGAUCUCCACAUUGUAAUUCUUUUUUUUGGAAUAUAGGACAAAUGACAUUUAUAAUGGAAAAUCAUCAUGAACUAUAAUAUAACAAGGAGAGUCAAAACGUUAAAAUUCUCGGGGGAAAAACGGGCUAUUUGUGUCUAGUACCGGUAAUUGAAAUUCAAUGAUGUAAAACGUACCUCCGGCGGCGGACAUGAUGGCUGGUCUGUGUGAGUGUCUGUUAGGAUGAAGGAAAUGAGUAAGAGAUAUACAAAAGCUGUAUCCAUGUCUACAAUAACAUUUGCUGAGUCACUAGUCAUUCAUUGUUGUAUGGUAUGCUUAGAAAAUCUGUUUUGGUUUGACACCAGCAUCGCUGACAGGGUAAAAUUAGUCAAUAUGUAACAUAUUUUUGUUUGUCUAGUUAGCAAAUUAUUUAUGUCAGUAGCAUUACCAAUGAAAACAGGCAUUCUGUUAGUUCUGAAACACACUGUCUCGUGUUUAUGGAUUCAGAUAGAUUACAAUUCAAUAAUCUGUUUUUAAUAAAUCUGGUGAAUGGUUUUUAAUGGUUUUAUCCAGCUUUUAUGAAAGUCCGUUGACAGGUUAAGAAACUCUAGAAGUCCAAACAAAUUGCUUUAGCUGGUUCUUCAUCUUUAGCCUUUAUAUCUGACUAAUUGCUAGAGAGGGUAGUAAAGAUAUUGAUACACACACACACACACACACACACACACACACACACACACACACACACACACACACACACACACACACACACACACACACACACACACACACAGUACACUGUUCUGUUCUUUUGAUCUAAGUCUCUAUGCCUUUAAUCAUUAACUUACAUGGAUUGUAAGAUUCAAAUAUCCCUGAGUUCAUUUUGUUCGGGCCAGUCUCACAUGUGUGUAAGUACUAGUUGUGAAAUAUGUGAGAGUGUAUGUGCCUGUGUGUAAACUUACGUGUCCCAAGUAUUCUGUGUGUGUGGUUUUUCAGUGCAUGAGUGACGUACUUUAGCAAAAACAACUCAUUAACCUUGACACCCCCUACAAUCACCCUCUAAACGGCAUUCAUUCAUGUGAGACAAGACAGUUCUGCUUUACAUGUACUCAAUAUGGGAUUAUUAUUCUUUUUUAACUCUACAUCGUUGGGAAGGGCUCAUAAGCAAGCAUUUUGCAAUAAAGUUUAUACCCGUUGUAUUCUGCGCAUGUGACAAAUAACAUUUGAUCGGAUUUGUAGAGCUCCCUGACAAAAGUCAACAUCAAUAAAGGCUUAUUGCUAGUCCGAUAAUAUUAUACAGUGUAAUUUUAGACCAGUACAGUUUUCCCUUCCACUGAUCAAUAUGUAUGUAUAGAAGAUUAAUACACCAUGUUAUUGAUAUGAUAAAGUUUGGAAUCAAAAGCAGAUGAUGCAUGAAAAGCUGGCACUUUUUCCAACUAUACAGUAUUUCCAAACUAGCUAGCUGUGAUUGCUUAUGAGUUGCUUGUGUUAAAUAAACAAUAAUUCAACAAGUAGGUAUACACUUAUCCAACAAGUACUCCUCGGUAUCAUCAAGUAUCAUGUAUUUGAUGUACUAACGGUCUAUCAAUCUCUAGUCAUAGCAUUCGGGAGAUCCAGGUUGGACUCACCUGUGGUGUUGGAAGGCUCCUCUGGCUAUGUGAGAUCCUCUCAGGUGUGCCUCCUUCUGUCUCUGUAGCCAGCUGCAGUCCAGUCACCUCCUG